UACGUAGGAAGCGAGCGUUGUCCGGAUUUACUGGGCGUAAAGGGCGAGUAGGCGGUUUGUUAAGUCCUGUGUGAAAUCUCCCGGCUCAACUGGGAGAGGUCACAGGAUACUGGCAGGCUUGAGGGCAGCAGAGGAAAGUGGAAUUCCCGGAGUAGCGGUGAAAUGCGUAGAUACCGGGAGGAACACCAGAGGCGAAGGCGACUUUCUAGGCUGUUUCUGACGCUGAGGCGCGAAAGCAUGGGGAGCAAACCGG
rnacentral:misc_RNA from 1 species